UGUAGGGAGUGUAUAAAACCAAGUGAAUGAGUUUGUGGUGCAGAUUGAAAUUGACAGAUGUAUUGUUCUGGGUAUCACAGACAUGUGGUUGUAAGGGGAUAAGUGUUGGGAACUAAAUAUCCAAUGAUACAUGUCCUAUAGAAAGAACAGACAAAUGGACAGAGAUGCCAGGGUUGGCUUGUGAGUAAGAAAUGGGGCAACGCUGAAGGAACCACAGGUCUUGAGCUUGUUUAUUAAUGACUUGGAGGAAGAGGUGAAUGUGCUGUGGCUAAAUUUGUAGAUGACUCAAAAAUAUUUGGAAAGACAAGGCAUGGCACAGAAACAGAGAUUUACCAGGAUGUUACUUGGAUUGGAAUGUAUUAGCUUUCAGGAGGGCUUGGUGGCAAUGUUGUACAAUAAUAAAUGUAAUGAGAUCAACCAUGAUCUCACCGAAUGGUGGAGGAAAUUCAAUGGGCCAAAUGACUUUUUGAGUGAGUCUUGUUGUUUGACAAUGAAUUCGUAAAGGUGUUUUUUUUGUCUCUUGGAUGAGAUGUAAAAAUGAAAUGUGUACGCUUCCUUUUCAUCUGGCAAUAAAUAAUCGUUCUGAACGAUUUCCAUUGACUAGUGGCAAUCUGACAAGCAUCACGAUGUAAAGAGAUUCUUAGCUUCUUUUUAAUUGUCAAGUUAUUCUUUGGAAUUAAUUCAGCAUAUAUUUUUGCAUCUCAGGAAUUAUAUUCAUCACUGCAUCUCAAAAAGUACUCUGUUGUAUGAUAACAGCAUUUUAAAGAACACUCUUCAAUGGUUGUGAUUUUCAGUUGCCAUAACACACAUUAAAUUACAUUGUUGGCCAAUCUGUCCAUGAUUAUUUCAUUGUCUUACAUUUCAAACAGACAAGGAAAUAUUGGUGAUGCAAUGAAGAGUUUGAUGAUAAAAUAUAAUUACUGUUACGGUUUCCUCUUGGACGAAAUAUUCUCAUCAAAUUGACUGGUGAAGGAAAUGGGACACUGACUGUGAGUACUUUGAGUGUUUAAGUGACUCCUAAAAUGAAAAUUAUGACCUUGAUUUCUCUUGCAUGCAGAUAUGAAGAGACUAUUUUAAAAAUCCUCUCGGUUCGUGGUUCAGGCAUAAAGGUGUCACAUGUAUAUUUAUGUAUAUACAUGUACAUGUGUAAUCUGAAAAGAAAAUGACGAUAAAUCACUUGUUACAAGGUGAGAAUGAGUUAUCCAGAUAGUAAGAACUGCCAAAGUUGGUGUCUGAGAUAACACAUUGUGGAGCUGGGGGAAAGCAGGCAGCAUCAGAGGCUCAAGAAAGUUGAUGUUUUGGGUCAGGACCCUUCCUCCAAAAUGGAGGGUGGACGGGAGCUCAGAAACAAAUAGUGUGGAGAGGGAGGAGGUGCUGGGGAAGGUAGGUGGGAUGGUGAUAAAUGAGUACUAUCCAGAUUGGAACAGAUUUACCCCAGAAGGUAUUGAAUACAAGUUCCAAAUCACUCUCAAAAUCCUAGUGACUGUUAACAUUCAUGUUUUUUUUGUCUGUGUGUUUCAGUAGUUGCAUGUCAGUUUGAAUGGUUCAUUGAGAGUGAGGAACCUAUGGACUCACACACACCAACAUGGAAUUUAAUUCAAAGAGUGACUCCUCUUCAAAGUACUUAGUCGCUUUUAAAAUCUUGACCAUUUCUGCUGUCUAGUUGAACAAGUGUAGCUGAAUACUGCUUCAAUAGGAAUUAGUGUUUAAUAGGAACAUAUUUGUGAAACUUACAGUUCCUCAAGCUUUAGCAUAAACUGGUGGAGACUUUCGGCGCUUGCAAAAAGGCUCACCUCUCUUAAUACUGAAGGAAAAUUGGAGUUUAAAAAUGCGGAUAAAGUUCUCCAAGCUGACAGAAAUUGAAAGCACUCGCAUCCUGUGACGAUGGGGUAGGAGUGGAAGAAUCAGAGUGUUUCUUUGAAAAUUGGCUUGAUGUGUCUGUCCAAGGGUCAUCUGGAGGAAAAAAUACAAGUGUUGAACUCCAUCUGCCACCUCUCAGCCCAUCUGCAGCGAGCAGCAGCGGAGGCAAGACGGACCCGGAAGACUGCAGCUAAGGUAAAGCAGUUUAUUUUUAAAAUUACUUACCGGUAGCGGGCAGCGGUGUUUUUUUUUCCUCUCAGACAAGGAGUGGGAGCAGCAGAGGAAGUGACGAGGACCAGAGGGGCAGCCGGGAAGGAAAGCAGUGACCAUAUAUAUCAGAGAUAAUG